UACGUAGGGGGCUAGCGUUGUCCGGAUUUAUUGGGCGUAAAGAGCGUGUAGGCGGCCAGGUAGGUCUGCUGUGAAAACUCGAGGCUCAACCUCGAGAUGUCGGCGGAAACCAUCUGGCUAGAGUCCGGAAGAGGAAAGUGGAAUUCCUGGUGUAGCGGUGAAAUGCGCAGAUAUCAGGAAGAACACCAGUGGCGAAGGCGACUACCUGGCCUGUUCUUGACGCUGAGGCGCGAAAGCUAGGUGAGCAAACGGG
rnacentral:rRNA from 1 species